CCUACGGGUGGCAGCCGUGGGGAAUAUUGGUCAAUGGGCGCAAGCCUGACCCAGCAACGUCGCGUGAAGGAAGAAGGCCCUCGGGUUGGUAACUUCUUUUUACAUGGACGAAAACUGUUCCGGUACUUGAGGAAUAAGCCUCGGCUAACUACGUGCCAGCCGCCGCGGUAAUCCGUAGGGUGCGAGCGUUCUCCGGAUGUAUUGGGUGUAAAGGGCGUGUAGGCGGGAGCGGAAGUCAGAUGUGAAAACUCAGGGCUCAACCCUGAGUCUGCAGUUGAAACUGUGUUUCUUGAGUGCAGGAGAGGCAAGCGGAAUUCCGUGUGUAGCGGUGAAAUGCGUAGAUAUACGGAGGAACACCAGUGGCGAAGGCGGAUUGCUGGACAGUAACUGACGCUGAGGCUCGAAAGCGUGGGGAGCAAACAGGAUUAGAUACCCGGGUAGUC
rnacentral:rRNA from 1 species